rnacentral:rRNA from 1 species
GACGAACGCUGGCGGCGUGCCUAACACAUGCAAGUCGAACGGGGUAGAGAGCUUCGGUUUUCUGCUUAGUGGCGAACGGGUGAGUAACGCGUGAAGAACCUGCCUUUCAGUGGGGGACAACAGUUGGAAACGACUGCUAAUACCGCAUAAUGUAUUCGGAUGGCAUCAUCUGGAUACCAAAGCUUUAUGUGCUGAAAGAUGGCUUCGCGUCUGAUUAGCUAGAUGGCGGGGUAACGGCCCACCAUGGCGACGAUCAGUAGCCGGUCUGAGAGGAUGAACGGCCACAUUGGGACUGAGAUACGGCCCAGACUCCUACGGGAGGCAGCAGUGGGGAAUAUUGGGCAAUGGGGGAAACCCUGACCCAGCAACGCCGCGUGAAGGAAGAAGGCCUUCGGGUUGGUAAACGUUCUUUUACCUAGGGUACGAAGAACGUGACGGUACCUGGAGAAAAAGACAACGGACUAACUACGUG